rnacentral:misc_RNA from 1 species
GCAAACUUGGUCAUUUAGAGGAAGUACAAGUCGUAACAAGGUUUCCGUAGGUGAACCUGCGGAAGGAUCAUUGAAGAAUGAUGUGUUGGAUAUACAACCAACCAACCAACCAAUUAUUUACGUGCCAAUCAAUAGUAGUAGUAGUAGUAGUGGGGAGGGAGAGUAUAGUAUGGAAUGAUUGACUGAGAGUAAUGAUGAAUAGUAGUAGCAGUAGUAGUAACGCGGCUAUUAUUAUUGUGUAUGAGAAAGAAGAAUAAAACUUUCAACAACGGAUCUCUUGGCUCCCGCAUCGAUGAAGGACGCAGC